rnacentral:rRNA from 1 species
UACCAGCUCUCCGAGUGGUGUGGAUGUUUAUUGGGCCUAAAGCAUCCGUAGCUGGCUGGACAAGUCCCCUGUUAAAUCCACCGAUUUAAUCGUUGGUGUGCGGGGGAUACUGUUCGGCUAGGGGACGGGAGAGGCCGACGGUAUUUCCGGGGUAGGGGUGAAAUCCUAUAAUCCCGGGAAGACCACCAGUGGCGAAGGCUGUCUGCUAGAACGCGCCCGACGGUGAGGGAUGAAAGCUGGGGGAGCGAACCGGAUUAGAUACCCGGGUAGUCCCAGCUGUAAACGAUGCAGGCUAGGUGUUUGGACGGCCACGUGCCGUUCUAGUGCCGCAGGGAAGCCGUUAAGCUUGCCGCCUGGGGAGUACGGCCGCAAGGCUGAAACUUAAAGGAAUUGGCGGGGAGCACCACAAGGGGUGAAGCUUGCGGUUU